rnacentral:lncRNA from 1 species
GUGGAAUCAACGCAGAGUACGGGACAUCUGCAAGAAUGUAAUUAUUUUGUUUUUUUGUAGUGUCAGGAUAAUACAACUUAUUAUAAGCGAUUUAAUUUUCACACUUGGUACAUAUCAAAAUAUAUUAUGGCAGUAAGACAAAGAGCAUAAGAGUAUAAAUUAUACAAUAUCGAUUAAUUAGCAUUAUUUGAUCAUCAUUUUUAUCCGAUAAUGCAAUUGGUAAUGCAUCUCGCAGACGAUAUUUAAUACGAUUUAGACGCGCCUCAGGGACGCGAGUGUGUCACGAGCGUCCGUUUACAACACCGAAGCUGCACUCACCCUCGCUGGUUUAAAGUGCACGUUUGACCCGUGACGUUCGCACGGAAAACGCAGAUGACAGCAAUAAAUCCAUGUACCAUAAAGAUAAUCACGGUAAUCUGUUUCCGGGAUGAGCGAUGCCCAUGCUUGUCUUUGCGAACGAAAGCUUCCCCCACUUCGUAUACACGUCAAGUAACAUUUACGUCAUUUACCGCGUAUUUGCCGCUCCCGUUAUCUCUGGUCUGUAAAAGUCUUUUAUGAUAAUGAUGUCUAGAAGCCGAUGGCUCGGUUAUCUAAAAUAAUUUCAACACACUCUCCCGCGCGCGCAGGAUUGAAAACCCAUCAUGCGAGAAUCGCCACGAAAAUAACGAAUGGUGAGGCCUUUUAGGGGAUCGACGAAUAAAAAUUGCAUUCAAGAGAGAGAAAGAUAAUGACGAGGUGCAAAGAGCAAGUUUUUCUUUCCGAUGGAUCAGACUCGGAGAGGUUUAUAGCCAAAGUUAUUGUGCUCAUCGUUAUUUAACUGUUCCUUUUACGAUCUCGGGAAUUCCGCGCAAUCCUACCUGACGAAUGGUCAGCAUCAAUUUCAAAUCAUCGGUGAGCGAGAGACAUCCGGCCUCUCGCACGUGACAGGGAAAAUAAUUUCUUGCUUCAGCGAAGCGAGCGAAGGAGUUUAUUUUCCGCGAACUUUUCUCCGCACCUGUCAGACAUUCUUCUCCGAUCGAAAGCGGACGCCACUUGCUCGACUAAUGGCUCGUCAAAACGACGCAAUACGAGACGGCUCGCAUUCCUACCGAAAUACCGGAGCCAAACAAAGUAAAAGGCGAGAUCUAGAGAUGUGCACGUGGUAAGGUAAACACCUUUAUCGACGUUUAAACAAAUUACACCAAACGCGGGAUCGUAAAUCAAGUCUUGAACUCCUCCCCCGUGCACUCGUAUUAACGAUCUUGGCGAGUGAAACGUAUUUUUGUCGGACGGCGAAAAGACACGUAAAUUCGCGAUAAGAUUGCGCGCCCUUCAUUCAAUGAUUGUAAGUUGUGCGGUCGACCUACUUCAGCGGGUUCUUCAUUUUUACAUCGUUAUUGUGACAUCGUUUUUGCGACAUUGAUUUUUGACACAAUUAAUUGUCACCAACGAUAUUUGCUGUCGGUUAUUCGCGAUAAUUAAUAAACCCGAUACCUUGGACGACUUGUCAAUGAAUCAUUUCGUUUUAUCGACGUCAUAAAAACGGAAACAGUUCGCGGGGAAAAACGUGGCUGUAACACAAUGCAUGAUUCAAUAAAAAUAUCGAAUGAUAAAGAAAAAAAGUGCGCAUACAUAAUUGUAUGAAUGUCAAAUGCAGGAAUCUCCCGGAAUCUAAUAAUAAUAAAAACCAAAAAGAGAUAUUAAAUUUACAUGAUAUAAAAAUAUUUAAGAAAAAAUGUUUAAAAAUAAUAUUGUAUAAUAUAAUUUACACCUAAAAUAUUUAGAUUUUUAAUGUACUUUGUUUUUUAUUAAACAGGAUUCUUUAACAAUUCCAUUAUCUUGAAUAGAGAUUAACAAGUUGAGAGCGCUCUAAUGCGCCUAAAUUCAUAUCAUUUAUUUAAACGAUGAUAUCAAGAUUUGCGUAGUAGCACGGUAAGCAGAAGAAUGCGAUUUGCUUUUAAAGUGCAACUAGAUGUUUCUUACGCGCCAAUUCAUACUUUCGCUUUUCUUCUAAUAUACGUAGAUGG